rnacentral:rRNA from 1 species
UACAAAAGUUUUCUAGCGCAAAAUGAAGAUUGACCGUAUGGUGCAAAGGAAAAAGAGAUUUUGGUAGCAAGACCCACUUAUCCAGUAGGGACAAAGAUCGAUCUUCGU